rnacentral:lncRNA from 1 species
UCUUCUGCAGUCUAACAUUUGAAAGCCUCGGUAUUACCAGAGGAAAUAUUGAAUGGCCAAUCCAAUAGUUGUCACUCAGGAUUUUUAUGUAGCCUAGUUUCCACCAUGUGUACAUGAAAUAUAUUUUUUCAGCCAUGGACAUAUCAGUGUAAAAAAAUAUAUAUCAUCUGUAUUAGUCUGUUUUCAUACUGCUUUAAAGAACUGCCCAAGACUGGGUAAUUUAUAAAGGAAAGAGGUUUAAUUGACUCACAGUUCAGCUUGGCUGGAGAGGCCUCAGGAAACGUACAAUCAUGGAGGAAGGUGAAGGGGAAGCAAGGCACCUUCUUUGUGUCUUACAUCCAGGUCAUACUGAUACAACAGGUGGGCUCCCACAACCUUGGGCAGCUCUUCCCCUGUGGCUUUGAAGGGUACAACCUCCCUCCUGGCUGUUUUCACAGGCUUGUGUUGAGUACCUGGCUUUUCCAGUCACACAGUGCAAGCUGUGGGUGGGUCUUCUGGGGUCUGGCAAAUGGAGACUCUCUUCUCACAGCUCCACUAGGUGAUGCCCCAGUGGGGACUCUGUGUGGGGGCUCCAACCCCACAUUUUCCUUCUGCACUGCCUUAGCAGAGGUUCUCAAUGAGGGCUCCACCCCUGCAGAAAACUUCUCUCUGGACAUCCAGGAGUUUGCAUAAAUCCUCUGAAAUCUAGCUGGAGGUUCCCAAACCUCAAUUCUUGACUUCUGUGCACCCGCAGGCCCAACACCAUGUGUAAGCUGCCACGGCUUGGGGCUUGCACCCUCUGAAGCAAU